rnacentral:rRNA from 1 species
CUUCUCUGAUGUUAGCGGCGGACGGGUGAGUAACACGUGGAUAACCUACCUAUAAGACUGGGAUAACUUCGGGAAACCGGAGCUAAUACCGGAUAAUAUUUUGAACCGCAUGGUUCAAAAGUGAAAGACGGUCUUGCUGUCACUUAUAGAUGGAUCCGCGCUGCAUUAGCUAGUUGGUAAGGUAACGGCUUACCAAGGCAACGAUGCAUAGCCGACCUGAGAGGGUGAUCGGCCACACUGGAACUGAGACACGGUCCAGACUCCUACGGGAGGCAGCAGUAGGGAAUCUUCCGCAAUGGGCGAAAGCCUGACGGAGCAACGCCGCGUGAGUGAUGAAGGUCUUCGGAUCGUAAAACUCUGUUAUUAGGGAAGAACAUAUGUGUAAGUAACUGUGCACAUCUUGACGGUACCUAAUCAGAAAGCCACGGCUAACUACGUGCCAGCAGCCGCGGUAAUACGUAGGUGGCAAGCGUUAUCCGGAAUUAUUGGGCGUAAAGCGCGCGUAGGCGGUUUUUUAAGUCUGAUGUGAAAGCCCACGGCUCAACCGUGGAGGGUCAUUGGAAACUGGAAAACUUGAGUGCAGAAGAGGAAAGUGGAAUUCCAUGUGUAGCGGUGAAAUGCGCAGAGAUAUGGAGGAACACCAGUGGCGAAGGCGACUUUCUGGUCUGUAACUGACGCUGAUGUGCGAAAGCGUGGGGAUCAAACAGGAUUAGAUACCCUGGUAGUCCACGCCGUAAACGAUGAGUGCUAAGUGUUAGGGGGUUUCCGCCCCUUAGUGCUGCAGCUAACGCAUUAAGCACUCCGCCUGGGGAGUACGACCGCCAAGGUUG